UUCUUUUUGUUUAUUUCAGAGUUUUUAUUAGUGAGAGGGAGAUUGGAGAGAUGAGUGAGGUGAGGUGUCUUUCUUUUUUCUUUUUUUGGUUAUUGUUUCGUGAGAGCUUCAGGGGAGUGAGUUGGGGUAUUGGUCUCACCUCCCUUUACUUUCCUUCCUCUUAAGCUUUUUUUUUUCUUUUGUGAGAGAGUAUAUGAAGAGUGUCUGUAGGGUUAUGUCAGUGGGAGCAUUUUUAUUUUCUUUUAUUUUUUAUUCUUUUAUUUUUAAUCCUUUGUACUAUUAUUAUUUGAUUGGGUGAAACUAAGUGGACAAGGAUUGCAACUAGAAUCCAUUGAUUAAUCUUGAUCUAACAAUCAAGAUUAAUUCAAAGAAGCACACCAAGAAGCACACAUUAUUAAAUAAAUUAAAAUGCCUAUAAUGCCCUUUUUUAUGAUUUAAUCAUUUUAAAAUAAUUUAAAUCAAUUGAAUCAAAUAAAAAUUCCAACUUCUAAAAUGAGUAUGAUAAAAAUAAAAUAAGGAAAUGAAAAUUC
rnacentral:lncRNA from 1 species